AUACGUAGGUGGCAAGCGUUGUCCGGAUUUAUUGGGCGUAAAGGGAACGCAGGCGGUCUUUUAAGUCUGAUGUGAAAGCCUUCGGCUUAACCGGAGAAGUGCAUUGGAAACUGGAAGACUUGAGUGCAGAAGAGGAGAGUGGAACUCCAUGUGUAGCGGUGAAAUGCGUAGAUAUAUGGAAGAACACCAGUGGCGAAAGCGGCUCUCUGGUCUGUAACUGACGCUGAGGUUCGAAAGCGUGGGGAGCGAACAGGAUUAGAUACCCUGGUAGUCCACGCUGUAAACGAUGAAUGCUAGGUGUUGGAGGGUUUCCGCCCUUCGGUGCCGCAGCUAACGCACUAAGCAUUCCGCCUGGGGAGUACGAUCGCAAGAUUGAA
rnacentral:rRNA from 1 species